rnacentral:rRNA from 1 species
AGGGCACCACCAGGAGUGGAGCCUGCGGCUUAAUUUGACUCAACACGGGAAAACUCACCCGGCCCGGACACUGAAAGGAUUGACAGAUUGAGAGCUCUUUCUUGAUUCAGUGGGUGGUGGUGCAUGGUCGUUCUUAGUUGGUGGAGCGAUUUGUCUGGUUAAUUCCGAUAACGAACGAGACUCUAGCCUACUAAAUAGAUCGCCGGUUUACAAACACCGGUGAGACUUCUUAGAGGGACAGGCGGCGAUUCAGCCGCACGAAACAGAGCAAUAACAGGUCUGUGAUGCCCUUAGAUGUCCGGGGCCGCACGCGCGCUACACUGAAGUGAUCAGCGUGCAUUUUAAGCCUACUCUGCCAAGAGUGGGAAACCCAAUGAACCUUCUUCGUGAUUGGGAUAGGGGAUUGUAAUUAUUCCCCUUGAACGAGGAAUUCCCAGUAAGCGCGAGUCAUAAGCUCGCGUUGAUUACGUCCCUGCCCUUUGUACACACCGCCCGUCGCUACUACCGAUUGAAUGUUUU